AAAACUCACUCAUCAUAGUUUAUUAAAGCUAUUAGAUGUUCCAAAAGUAUGUUUCAUCUAACAAAGUACAUUCUGUGACCAUUUUGAGUAUACUUUUGGGAAAUAAGGAAAAAUAUGUAUCAUGGAAAACAGGUGGAGCUUUGGUACUUGCCUGGGUUGAAGGCAAACCUGCUUUGACCCUGGGGCUCUGGGAGCCCAGCUCGAACUCGUGCCACUUAGAAGAGCUUUCCACGUGAGGACAGGGAGGGAGGCAGAAAAUCCAUCUGUGCAUGGACAUAAAGUGGGUGCUUUGCCCUCUGGUCCAUCAGAGCGGGGACAGGAGUUGUGUCUCUCAUCUUAAGUGAUGAACUCGGUGGUGCAAACAUUUCAGGACUCUGAGAGGUGGUUAAGUUCUCCAUCUUCAAAUGAAACUAAUUUAUUACGAGAAAGAGUGACAAUUCUCCAAGC
rnacentral:lncRNA from 1 species